rnacentral:lncRNA from 10 species
GUCUCUUCACUCUGCUGAUUGUGUAUUUUGCUGUUCAGAAGCUUUUCAGUUUGAUACAGCCUCACUCGCUCAUUCAGGGCCCCCGAGUAGAAUGGGAGAGCUCCAGAUGCAACUGACUAACUGAAGAUGUCACAAAGGCUGAAUCUUCUAUGCUACACUUUGGAUCACUAGAAGGACCAGAGUGUAGUCAACGAUGUGUAAACAACUGAGAAAAACUUUUCUCUGGAAACAACUGUGAUUUUGAAAUUCAGUGGUUUCUUCUUUCUAGCUGAGAAACAUUGAGCAAGUCACUGCAAUAACAUGGAAUCCAGCUGCUUUAUCUGGUGAAUUAGGAUAAUUCAUAGUGUACAACUAGGAUUACAAUUAAUUUAUCAGUUAAUAUUGCUGCAAAGAAAAUCAUUCUAUAAGUUAAUGGCUUAAAACAACGAUUAUUUAAUACACUUUUUCUCUGUGGGUAAACCGUGUGGUUUCUCUAGUCUGGGUUAGUUAGUUUGGGCUUGGAUGACUUAGAAUGUUCUCAGUCACACAUCUCUGGCCUCUGCUGGGGUGUCUGGGAAAGCUGAACUCCUUGUUUUCAUGGGCUGUCACUCCGGGAGUUAGCUUAAGGUUAUACUUAUGAUAGAAAAGUUCCCAGAAGCAAAAGCGAGUCAGCCUUAAUGUGCAAGCACUUCUUAGCAACCUGCUUCCAUUAGGGUUGCUAAAAUCCCGUAGGCUGAAGUAAGUCAUAGGACCAAGCAGAAAUGAGGUGGGAAAAUAAACUCAUUUUCUUCACAGGAGCAGCCUCAAAAAGUUUGUGGUCACAAACUCUUCACUUUUUUUUUUUUUUUUUUUGCAGUUUCCAACAGGGUAGAUUUGAGUAUUAGUGAAAAUGAAUGCAAAGUGUUUGUCAUGUAGUAAGAACUAAAUACAUUUUAUAAUUGUUAAUGUGUUUUACCAGCCAUACUUUUUAUCAUCCUAUGAUUUAACAAACAUGCAUUAAGAAAAUGUGUGGGUAAGGCUGCUUCAAUUAUAAUCACUUGAGUCCUUUAAGGUUCUGCUUAUGUUAUACAGGAUAUAGAAAGUCAUCCCAACAUACUGACUGUCUCAAAUGUAUUUUGUUUUGGAUUUCCCAACUAUAUCACAGCCUGUUACGAACACUUAGUUACAUAAGUACAUUCCAUCUUAUGUCUUCAUUUACUUAUUUCAUGACUUAAGUUUUAUACCAACUCCUCCCUAGUUAGAUUUUAAUCCCGUUGAGUAAAAAGAGGGAUUAUAUUUAUCUGACAUAAUUAGGACUACCUAGUACAGCAUUGGAUCUGAAUUUUAGAUUCUAAACAAGAAUAUUAAUAUCAACUUCCCAACUCUAUUAUAUAUACCACUGCAUUCAAUAUAUACCAAUCUAGUACAGUUAACAUCGUAGGUAGCAUUGUGACAUGAGCCCUCAAAUAGGUAGACAAUCCUGGGAUUGAGUACUGGGUCUAUGAAUAGCUUUGUGACCAUGGACAAUAGUAAGCUUCUCUGAGCUUGUUUUCUGUUAUAGCAAGAAGAAAAAUAUAUUUUAUAAUGAUAAUGUUAAAACAAAAAUGUCUUGCUAAUAUGGAUUGGAUUUGUGUCCCUGCCCAAAUCUCAUGUUGAAUUGUGAUCCCCAGUUUUAGAGAGGUACCUGGUGGGAAGUGAUUGAAGGGGAACAUCACACUCUGGGGUCUGUUGUGGAGUGGGGGGAGGUAAAUGAUGAGUUAAUGGGUGCAGCACAC